rnacentral:rRNA from 1 species
UGGGGAAUAUUGCACAAUGGGCGCAAGCCUGAUGCAGCCAUGCCGCGUGUAUGAAGAAGGCCUCCGGGUUGUAAAGCACUUUCAGCGGGGAGGAAGGCGUUAAGGUUAAUAACCUUGGCGAUUGACGUUACCCGCAGAAGAAGCACCGGCUAACUCCGUGCCAGCAGCCGCGGUAAUACGGAGGGUGCAAGCGUUAAUCGGAAUUACUGGGCGUAAAGCGCACGCAGGCGGUCUGUCAAGUCGGAUGUGAAAUCCCCGGGCUCAACCUGGGAACUGCAUUCGAAACUGGCAGGCUAGAGUCUUGUAGAGGGGGGUAGAAUUCCAGGUGUAGCGGUGAAAUGCGUAGAGAUCUGGAGGAAUACCGGUGGCGAAGGCGGCCCCCUGGACAAAGACUGACGCUCAGGUGCGAAAGCGUGGGGAGCAAACAGG